rnacentral:miRNA from 1 species
UGCUCAGCGCCCCUUCAGCGAAGCGGGAGGAGAAAUGGAAGGGGCUCCGUUUCUCCUGCCGCUUCGCUGAAGGGGCGCUGAGCA